rnacentral:rRNA from 1 species
UUACGAAAACUUGGCAAUGCGGGAAACCGCGACCAGGGGACUCCAAGUGCUAAUACUUUGUAUUAGCUGUUCUUCUGUCUAAAAAACAGGAGAAGUAAGGGCUGGGUAAGACGGGUGCCAGCCGCCGCGGUAAUACCCGCAGCCCGAGUGGUGGUCAUUAUUAUUGAGCCUAAAGCGUCCGUAGCCGGACUCGUAAAUCCUUGGGUAAAUCGGGCAGCUUAACUGUCCGAAUUCCGAGGAGACUGCGAGUCUUGGGACCGGGAGAGGUCAGAGGUACUCCAGGGGUAAGGGCUAAAUCUUGUAAUCCUUGGGGGACCACCAGUGGCGAAGGCGUCUGACUAGAACGGAUCCGACGGUAAGGGACGAAACCCUGGGGCGCAAACGGG